CCUACGGGGUGCUGCAGUGAGGAAUAUUGGUCAAUGGACGAGAGUCUGAACCAACCAAGUAGCGUGAAGGAUGACUGCCCUAUGGGUUGUAAACUUCUUUUAUAUGGGAAUAAAAUGUUCCACGUGUGGGAUUUUGUAUGUACCAUAUGAAUAAGGAUCGGCUAACUCCGUGCCAGCAGCCGCGGUAAUACGGAGGAUCCGAGCGUUAUCCGGAUUUAUUGGGUUUAAAGGGAGCGUAGGUGGAUUGUUAAGUCAGUUGUGAAAGUUUGCGGCUCAACCGUAAAAUUGCAGUUGAAACUGGCAGUCUUGAGUACAGUAGAGGUGGGCGGAAUUCGUGGUGUAGCGGUGAAAUGCUUAGAUAUCACGAAGAACUCCGAUUGCGAAGGCAGUUCACUGGACUGCAACUGACACUGAGGCUCGAAAGUGUGGGUAUCAAACAGGAUUAGAUACCCGUGUAGUC
rnacentral:rRNA from 1 species